CAGUAUCAUUCUCUUGUCUGCCUUCCCAUACGGUUCUGACUCAAGAGGCCUCAGCAGGAAUUAUCUGGUCUGGAUCGGCACAAAAAUGGAGGAAGCUGCUUCUGAAAUGCGCCCCCCUGUGGAGUGUAAGAGGAAGAGCACUGAGAGUGUCCUGAUGGAGAGAGCAGACUCCCCUGUACCCAGCUGUGUUUCCCUGAAGAGUGACAAGUCAAUGCAGAAUCCACUCAACUUCAGAGAGGGACCUUUUCCUACAGAUCAAAGUGUCCUGAUGGAGAGAGCAGACUCCCCUGUACCCAGCUGUGCUUCCCUGAAGAGUGACAGGUCAAUGUAUAAUCCACUCAACUUCAGAGAGGGACGUUUUCCUACAGAUCAAAGGUAAAUGUGCAUUUAAACAAACACUGAUUA